UACGUAGGGUGCAAGCGUUUGUCCGGAAUUAUUGGGCGUAAAGAGCUCGUAGGCGGUUUGUUGCGUCGGCUGUGAAAUCCCGAGGCUCAACCUCGGGUCUGCAGUCGAUACGAGCAAACUAGAGUGUUGCAGGGGGAGACUGGAAUUCCUGGUGUAGCGGUGAAAUGCGCAGAUAUCAGGAGGAACACCGGUGGCGAAGGCGGGUCUCUGGGCAACAACUGACGCUGAGGAGCGAAAGCGUGGGGGAGCAAACAGG
rnacentral:rRNA from 1 species